ACAUGCCUACAACAUAGUGUUAACGCACCGGAUCCCAUUAGAACUUCACAGUUAAGCACACUUAGGCUAGAGUAGUACUGGGAUGGGUGACCUCCCGGGAAGUCCUUGUGUUUUACAUGCC
rnacentral:rRNA from 1 species